rnacentral:rRNA from 1 species
CCCUUAGACGUUCUGGGCCGCACGCGCGCUACACUGACCAGUGCAACAAGCAUCCGUCCUUGGCCGACAGGCCCGGGCAAUCUUUGAACGCUGGUCGUGAUGAGGAUAGACUUUUGCAAUUUUUGGUCUUCAGCGAGGAAUUCCUAGUAAACGCAAGUCAUCAACCUGCAUUGAUUACGUCCCUGCCCUUUGUACACACCGCCCGUCGCACCUACCGAUUGAAUGGUCCGGUGAAGCCUCCGGAUUGGCGCGCACCUCGGUGCCGCCGAGAAGUCGGCUAAACCUUACCAUUUAGAGGAAGGUGAAGUCGUANCA